rnacentral:sRNA from 1 species
UGAUAGAUUACAAUCUUUUUUUGAUGAGCGCUGUCCUCAUGGAUGACGUUGAUCCAUCUAUAGAGUUUAAAGGUAAACUUAGUUGUCUUAAGGAACAAGUCAAGAUAUCUCAAGUCUUUCACUGUGAGGGUUUAUUGUUAUGCAUCUUGAAAGACGAUACUAGGAUUGUUGUUUGGAAUCCGUAUAGGCAGGAAACAAGGUGGAUCAUACCUAGAUAUUCUCACCGUCCAUACGUAAUGAACAAUAUCAGAUAUGCUCUUGGAUACGAGAAUAAUAAAUCUGGUCGUAGCCUUAAAUUAUUGAGGUUUAUAGAUUAUUGCUACACCGAAAAGCACAUUUGUUGGCAUGAAAUCUACGAUUUUGACUCUGAUUUAUGGACAACUCUUGAUGUCACUCCACAUUGGUAUAUAUUGUCUAAUUGGUCUUGUGUCCAAGGCGUCUCUCUCAAAGGGAACACUUACUGGUGUGCUAGAGAAGAAAACUCAGAUGGUUACAAUCAUAUAAUCUGUUUUGAUUUUACAAGAGAGAGAUUUGGUCCGCUUCUGCCUCUACCGGUUAACGUUAUAGAUAAUGAAUAUGAAUAUGU